AACGAACGCUGGCGGCGCGCCUAAUACAUGCAAGCCGAGCGAGAAGACGUAGCAAUACGUUUGUAAAGCGGCGAACGGGUGAGGAAUACAUGGGUAACCUACCCCUAGAGUGGGGAAUAACUAGCCGAAAGGUUAGCUAAUACCGCGUACGCUUCUUGGACUUCGGUUCAGGGAGGAAAGCGAUACCGUGGGCAUCGCGCUCUUGGAUGGGCUCAUGUCCUAUCAGCUUGUUGGNGAGGUAACGGCUCACCAAGGCUUCGACGGGUAGCUGGUCUGAGAGGACGAUCAGCCACACUGGCACUGCGACACGGGCCAGACUCCUACGGGAGGCAGCAGUAAGGAAUAUUGCGCAAUGGGCGAAAGCCUGA
rnacentral:rRNA from 1 species